rnacentral:rRNA from 1 species
AAGUUUUUCGGUGCAGGAUGAGUCCGCGGCCUAUCAGCUUGUUGGUGGGGUAAUGGCCUACCAAGGCGACGACGGGUAGCCGGCCUGAGAGGGUGAUCGGCCACACUGGGACUGAGACACGGCCCAGACUCCUACGGGAGGCAGCAGUGGGGAAUAUUGCACAAUGGGCGGAAGCCUGAUGCAGCGACGCCGCGUGGGGGAUGACGGUCUUCGGAUGUAAACCCCUUCAGUAGGGA